GACGAACGCUGGCGGCGUGCUUAACACAUGCAAGUCGAACGGAAAGGCCCUGCUUUUGUGGGGUUCUCGAGUGGCGAACGGGUGUGUAACACGUGAGUAACCUGCCCUUGUCUUUGGGAUAACUUCAGGAAACUGGGGCUAAUACCGGGGAGGAUCUCCUGCUGCACGGGGGGGGUUGGAAAGUUUCGGCGGUUCGGGCUGGACUCGCGGCUUAUCAGCUUGUUGGUGGGGUAGUGGCUUACCAAGGCUUUGACGGGUAGCCGGCCUGAGAGGGUGACCGGCCACAUUGGGACUGAGAUACGGCCCAGACUCCUACGGGAGGCAGCAGUGGGGAAUAUUGCACAAUGGGCGGAAGCCUGAUGCAGCAACGCCGCGUGCGGGAUGACGGCCUUCGGGUUGUAAACCGCUUUCGCCUGUGACGAAGCGUGAGUGACGGUAAUGGGUAAAGAAGCACCGGCUAACUACGUG
rnacentral:rRNA from 1 species